AUUGAACGCUGGCGGCAGGCCUAACACAUGCAAGUCGAGCGAGCGGCGGACGGGUGAGUAAUGUCUGGGAAAAUGCCUGAUGGAGGGGGAUCACUACUGGAAAAGGUAGCUAAUACCGCAUACCAUCAGAUGUGCCCAGAUGGGAUUAGCUAGUAGGUGGGGUAAAGGCCUACCAAGGCGACGAUCCGGAACUGGUCUGAGAGGAGGAUCAGUCACACUGGAACUGAGAAACGGUCCAGACUCCUACGGGAGGCAGCAGUGGGGAAUAUUGGACAAUGGGCGAAAGCCUGAUGCAGACAUGCCGCGUGUGUGAAGAAGGUCUUCGGAUUGUAAAGCACUUUAAGUUGGGAGGCGUUACCCGCAGAAGAAGCACCGGCUAACUCCGUGCCAGCAGCCGCGGUAAUAC
rnacentral:rRNA from 1 species